rnacentral:rRNA from 1 species
CGCUGGCGGCAGGCCUAACACAUGCAAGUCGAGCGGAUGAAGGGAGCUUGCUCCCUGAUUUAGCGGCGGACGGGUGAGUAAUGCCUAGGAAUCUGCCUGGUAGUGGGGGAUAACGUUCCGAAAGGAACGCUAAUACCGCAUACGUCCUACGGGAGAAAGCAGGGGACCUUCGGGCCUUGCGCUAUCAGAUGAGCCUAGGUCGGAUUAGCUAGUUGGUGAGGUAAUGGCUCACCAAGGCGACGAUCCGUAACUGGUCUGAGAGGAUGAUCAGUCACACUGGAACUGAGACACGGUCCAGACUCCUACGGGAGGCAGCAGUGGGGAAUAUUGGACAAUGGGCGAAAGCCUGAUCCAGCCAUGCCGCGUGUGUGAAGAAGGUCUUCGGAUUGUAAAGCACUUUAAGUUGGGAGGAAGGGCAUUAACCUAAUACGUUAGUGUUUUGACGUUACCGACAGAAUAAGCACCGGCUAACUUCGUGCCAGCAGCCGCGGUAAUACGAAGGGUGCAAGCGUUAAUCGGAAUUACUGGGCGUAAAGCGCGCGUAGGUGGUUCGUUAAGUUGGAUGUGAAAGCCCCGGGCUCAACCUGGGAACUGCAUCCAAAACUGGCGAGCUAGAGUACGGUAGAGGGUGGUGGAAUUUCCUGUGUAGCGGUGAAAUGCGUAGAUAUAGGAAGGAACACCAGUGGCGAAGGCGACCACCUGGACUGAUACUGACACUGAGGUGCGAAAGCG